AGAGCGAACGCUGGCGGCAUGCUUAACACAUGCAAGUCGCACGGGCAGGGGUAACUCUGUCAGUGGCGGACGGGUGAGUAACGCGUAGGUAUCUAUCUCUGGGUGGGGGAUAACCGUGGGAAACUACGGCUAAUACCGCAUGACACCUGAGGGUCAAAGGCGCGAGCCGCCUGGAGAGGAGCCUGCGUUCGAUUAGCUUGUUGGUGGGGUAAAGGCCUACCAAGGCGACGAUCGAUAGCUGGUCUGAGAGGAUGAUCAGCCACAUUGGGACUGAGACACGGCCCAAACUCCUACGGGAGGCAGCAGUGGGGAAUAUUGGACAAUGGGCGCAAGCCUGAUCCAGCAAUGCCGCGUGGGUGAAGAAGGUUUUCGGAUUGUAAAGCCCUUUUGGCGGGGACGAUGAUGACGGUACCCGCAGAAUAAGCCCCGGCUAACUUCGUGCCAGCAGCCGC
rnacentral:rRNA from 1 species